GACGAACGCUGGCGGCGUGCUUAACACAUGCAAGUCGAGCGGAGCGGCGAACGGGUGAGUAACGCGUGAGUAACUGCCCCCCUCUCUGGGAUAACAGUUGGAAACGGCUGCUAAUACCGGAUAGUGGGGGAUGACUCGCGUCCUCUCAGCUUGUUGGUGGGGUAGUGGCCUACCAAGGCGACGACUGGUAGCCGUCCUGAGAAGGGGACCGGCCACAUUGGGCUGAGAUACGGCCCAAACUCCUACUGGAGGCAGUAGUGGGGAAUAUUGCCCAAUGUGGGAAACCCUGAUUCAGAAACGCCGCGUGCGGGAUGACGGCCUUCGGGUUGUAAACCUCUUUCAGCCAUGACUCGGUAGUGGCAGAAGAAGCACCGGCUAACUACGUGCCAGCAGCCGCGGUAAUUC
rnacentral:rRNA from 1 species